UGAUGUGCCGGUAGCCUGAAGCAAGGGGAUACUCUCCAUCCAAUGGUAACUCUUUAAAAAGUGUAUUUUGAAGUAAAAAGCUGAGGCACUUUUAAGAACUAUUGAUCUUCUUCUUAAAUAGCCAGAGGGAAGUUUGGAUGUAUGUAUAUUACAGGACUAGCUAUUCCAAGCAAAAAGACUCAGUACUCAGAAAGCAUUACCCAUCUGGAGGUGGCCCUGCUAGCUUUGACAGUAGCUGGAAAUUCAUCAUGACCAAGACAGAUGAUUAAUUCUCAUAGCAAGAGGCUAAAUAAUGGCAGGGCUGAUUUACUAAGAGCUGUUGCACACCUGGUUUGAAAUGAUAAACAUCAUGACAUAGGCUGCAAUUUCCUUCUUCUGCAGAGAUCUGAGGGUGCUCCUGAUGUUCAGCAAGAAGGGAUGUGAUCAGAGGGGCCUCACCUCCAGCUGCACCACAGGGACAGUUUGCUUUCUCAUUGAUUUUUUCAGACUCCUUCCAAGCCAUGUUUUCACUCUACCUAUUCAGAGGCCAUAAGAAAUACAGCAGACUAAAACAUGCCAGAGACAUCAUAAAGCGGCAUAUACAAAGACAGUAACAAAGAACACUACACGGUAAGACUAGUGCAGAACUCCAAUCAUAGAUGUACUGGCAAGAAAUUCCUGCAUGUUAGCAGAGUAAAAAAGUCUUUAAUUUAUCCUCAGUUAACAUAUAUGUCCAAGACAACUAUACACAGGAAAAUUGCAUGUUGGAGGGAAGAUUGCCCUGAGUGACAAGCUAGGUCUACCAGCUCUUCACAUAUUUGUUUCUUAUUGUGUGCACAGUACUAAAUGAAUCUACGAUUUUUAGACCAAUUUUUAGACUAAUCUGCAAUUAGCCUGCUUUUUUUUUUUUUUUUCUUCACCAGUAAUUAGUGGGGAGGGAAGUUUAUGAAAAUGAGCUCCCAAAUAUUGCUCAACACUGAAAUCUAAUUAGCUCACUGUACAACUUACACUCACAACUAGUGUGUUUAAAUAAUGCAUCCCAUUUCUGUUUUUGUAUGACGGCUGCUGCCUUAAAAGUCUGUCCGUUCUUUGCAAUCAAGGGAGUAUGCAUUUAGGACACCUAUGUGUUUAUAUGUAUUAAUA
rnacentral:lncRNA from 1 species